AUUGAACGCUGGCGGCAUGCCUUACACAUGCAAGUCGAACGGCAGCACGGGUGCUUGCACCUGGUGGCGAGUGGCGAACGGGUGAGUAAUACAUCGGAACAUGUCCUGUAGUGGGGGAUAGCCCGGCGAAAGCCGGAUUAAUACCGCAUACGAUCUACGGAUGAAAGCGGGGGACCUUCGGGCCUCGCGCUAUAGGGUUGGCCGAUGGCUGAUUAGCUAGUUGGUGGGGUAAAGGCCUACCAAGGCGACGAUCAGUAGCUGGUCUGAGAGGACGACCAGCCACUCGGGAACGAGGACGCGCCCCGGACCCCUGGGGGGGGAAGCGGGGGGAAUUUUUGGCAAAGGGGGGAAAUCUUAACCAAGCAGUGCGGGGGUUGGGAAGAAGCCCUUGGGGUUGGAAAGCAGUUUUGCCGGGAAAGAACUCUUUGGCCUAAAAAGGGUGGGGGGAUGACGGCACCGGAAAAAAAAGCCCCGGCUAACUCCGUG
rnacentral:rRNA from 1 species